UACGUAGGGUGCAAGCGUUGUCCGGAAUUAUUGGGCGUAAAGAGCUCGUAGGCGGUCUGUCGCGUCGGCUGUGAAAUCCCGAGGCUCAACCUCGGGUCUGCAGUCGAUACGGGCAAACUAGAGUAUUGCAGGGGAGACUGGAAUUCCUGGUGUAGCGGUGAAAUGCGCAGAUAUCAGGAGGAACACCGGUGGCGAAGGCGGGUCUCUGGGCAUGUCCUGACGCUGAGGAGCGAAAGUGUGGGGAUCAAACAGG
rnacentral:rRNA from 1 species